rnacentral:rRNA from 1 species
AUGGACCGCCUGAAGUCGGCCCAAGGGUCGUCCGUGCGCUUCACCACCGCGAAGCUUCAGGUCACAACCGCCUCCGCCGCAGCCGCCGGAGCUCCCGCUCACCCCCGACGAGGUCUCCGUUGUCGUGGAUGUCACGAGCGUCGUCUCCGCCUCGCAACCGUCGACGCUGCGGAUGUUGUACGCGCUCGGCUCCUUGUUGCAGCUGAACCACCCGCUAUCGCCGGACGACAAGGUCUGUAUGGCCACGAGGCGAGGCGUGUUGUCACCGUCGGUGGCGGCCUCAAUGACGGGAGGGAUCCCGCACCCACGCGCACAGAUGGAGGCAGUAGCAGCAGCGAGCUCGCCCCGUGCUAG